GUGCCAGCAGCCGCGGUAAUACGUAGGUGACAAGCGUUGUCCGGAUUUACUGGGUGUAAAGGGCGCGUAGGCGGGAUAGCAAGUCAGCCGUGAAAUACCGAGGCUUAACCUCGGGGCUGCGGUUGAAACUGUUAUUCUUGAGUAUCGGAGAGGAAAGCGGAAUUCCUAGUGUAGCGGUGAAAUGCGUAGAUAUUAGGAGGAACACCAGUGGCGAAGGCGGCUUUCUGGACGACAACUGACGCUGAGGCGCGAAAGUGUGGGGAGCAAACAGGAUUAGAUACCCUGGUAGUCCACACCGUAAACGAUGGAUACUAGGUGUAGGAGGUAUCGACCCCUUCUGUGCCGCAGUUAACACAAUAAGUAUCCCACCUGGGGAGUACGACCGCAAGGUUGAAACUCAAAGGAAUUGACGGGGGCCCGCACAAGCAGUGGAGUAUGUGGUUUAAUUCGAAGCAACGCGAAGAACCUUACCUGGGCUUGACAUCCCGAUGACCGUCCUGGAGACAGGAUUUCCCUUCAGGGCAUCGGUGACAGGUGGUGCAUGGUUGUCGUCAGCUCGUGUCGUGAGAUGUUGGGUUAAGUCCCGCAACGAGCGCAACCCCUAUUGUCAGUUGCCAUCAUUCAGUUGGGCACUCUGGCGAGACUGCCGGUGACAAAUCGGAGGAAGGUGGGGACGACGUCAAAUCAUCAUGCCCCUUAUGCCCAGGGCUACACACGUACUACAAUGGCCGGCAACAAAGUGCAGCGAAGCGGUGACGCAGAGCGAAUCACAAAACCCGGUCUCAGUUCAGAUUGCAGGCUGCAACUCGCCUGCAUGAAGUUGGAAUUGCUAGUAAUCGCGAAUCAGAAUGUCGCGGUGAAUACGUUCCCGGGCCUUGUACACACCGCCCGU
rnacentral:rRNA from 1 species